AACGAACGCUGGCAGCGUGCUUAACACAUGCAAGUCGAACGGAAAGGCCCUGCUUUUGUGGGGUGCUCGAGUGGCGAACGGGUGAGUAACACGUGAGUAACCUGCCCUUGACUUUGGGAUAACUUCAGGAAACUGGGGCUAAUACCGGAUAGGAGCUCCUGCUGCAUGGUGGGGGUUGGAAAGUUUCGGCGGUUGGGGAUGGACUCGCGGCUUAUCAGCUUGUUGGUGGGGUAGUGGCUUACCAAGGCUUUGACGGGUAGCCGGCCUGAGAGGGUGACCGGCCACAUUGGGACUGAGAUACGGCCCAGACUCCUACGGGAGGCAGCAGUGGGGAAUAUUGCACAAUGGGCGGAAGCCUGAUGCAGCAACGCCGCGUGCGGGAUGACGGCCUUCGGGUUGUAAACCGCUUUCGCCUGUGACGAAGCGUGAGUGACGGUAAUGGGUAAAGAAGCACCGGCUAACUACGUG
rnacentral:rRNA from 1 species